rnacentral:rRNA from 1 species
CAGUAGCCACGGGAAUACGAAGGGUGCAAGCGUUAAUCGGAAUUACUGGGCGUAAAGCGUGCGUAGGCGGUUUGUUAAGUCUGUUGUGAAAUCCCCGGGCUCAACCUGGGAAUGGCAAUGGAUACUGGCAAGCUAGAGUGUGUCAGAGGAUGGUGGAAUUCCCGGUGUAGCGGUGAAAUGCGUAGAGAUCGGGAGGAACAUCAGUGGCGAAGGCGGCCAUCUGGGACAACACUGACGCUGAGGCACGAAAGCGUGGGGAGCAAACAGGAUUAGAUACCCCGGUAGUCCCUGUCUCUUAUAC